UACUACCGAAGCUACGGCAUCAGUAAUGAUGGGUAGGGGAGCUUCCCAUACGGGUUGAAGCAUGACCGUAAGGACAUGUGGACAGUAUGGGAGUGAGAAUGUUGGCAUGAGUAGCGAGAUGUGGGUGAGAAUCCCACAGGCCGUAAACCCAAGGUUUCCAGGGGAAGGUUCGUCCGCCCUGGGUUAGUCGGGACCUAAGCUGAGGCCGAAAGGCGUAGGUGAUGGACAACAGGUUGAUAUUCCUGUACUACCGAUAACCGUUUGAGAGAAGGGAUGACACAGUAGGAUAAGCUAAGCACACUGUUGGUUAUGUGUGCCCAAGCAUUGAGGCAGUCAAAGUAGGCAAAUCCGCUUUGAUAAUGCUGGGGUGUGAUGGGGAGCGAAAUUUAGUAGCGAAGUAGCUGAUUUCACACUGUCAAGAAAAGUCUCUAUCGAGGUUAAAGGUACCCGUACCGCAAACCGACACAGGUGGGUGAGGAGAGUAUCCUAAGGCCAGCGAGAGAACUGUUGUUAAGGAACUCGGCAAAAUGACCCCGUAACUUAGGGAUAAGGGGUGCCACCAUCAGGUGGCCGCAGAGAAUAGGCCCAAGCGACUGUUUACCAAAAACAUAGGUUUCUGCUAAGUCGCAAGACGAUGUAUAGGAGCUGACGCCUGCCCGGUGCUGGAAGGUUAAGGGGAUCUGUUAGAGCAAUCGAAGCAGUGAACUUAAGCCCCAGUAAACGGCGGCCGUAACUAUAACGGUCCUAAGGUAGCGAAAUUCCUUGUCGGGUAAGUUCCGACCCGCACGAAAGGCGUAACGAUUUGGGCACUGUCUCAACAACAGACUCGGUGAAAUUGUAAUUCCGGUGAAGAUGCCGGAUACCUGCGACAGGACGGAAAGACCCCAUGGAGCUUUACUGUAGCUUGACAUUGGGUCUUGGUACUACAUGUACAGGAUAGGUGGGAGGCUUUGAAACCAGGACGCCAGUUUUGGCGGAGCCAUCCUUGGGAUACCACCCUUGUAGUACUGGGACUCUAACCAUAGGCCAUGAAUCUGGUCUUGGGACACUGUCAGGUGGGCAGUUUGACUGGGGCGGUCGCCUCCCAAAAGG
rnacentral:rRNA from 1 species